UCAAGUAAUUAAGUGCAUGUGGUGGAUGCCUUGGCAGUCAGAGGCGAUGAAAGACGUGAUAGCCUGCGAAAAGCUCCGGGGAGGCGGCAAAUAUCCUUUGAUCCGGAGAUGUCUGAAUGGGGGAACCCACCUACUUUAAGGUAGGUAUUGCAACAUGAAUACAUAGUGUUGCAAGGCGAACGAGGGGAAGUGAAACAUCUCAGUACCCUUAGGAAAAGAAAUCAAUUGAGAUUCCCUCAGUAGCGGCGAGCGAACGGGGAUCAGCCCAUUAAGUUAUGUGUGUUUUAGUGGAACGCUCUGGGAAGUGCGAACGUAGAGGGUGAUAUUCCCGUACACGAAAGGGCACACAUAAUGAUGACGAGUAGGGCGAGGCACGUGAAACCUUGUCUGAAUAUGGGGGGACCAUCCUCCAAGGCUAAAUACUCCUGACUGACCGAUAGUGAACCAGUACCGUGAGGGAAAGGCGAAAAGAACCCCUGUGAGGGGAGUGAAAUAGAUCCUGAAACCGCAUGCAUACAAGCAGUGGGAGCACCUUCGUGGUGUGACUGCGUACCUUUUGUAUAAUGGGUCAGCGACUUAUAUUCAGUAGCGAGGUUAACCGUAUAGGGGAGCCGUAGAGAAAUCGAGUCUUAAUAGGGCGUUUAGUUGCUGGGUAUAGACCCGAAACCAGGCGAUCUAUCCAUGAGCAGGUUGAAGGUUGGGUAACACUAACUGGAGGACCGAACCCACUGUCGUUGAAAAGCCAGGGGAUGACUUGUGGAUAGGGGUGAAAGGCUAAUCAAGCCUGGUGAUAGCUGGUUCUCCCCGAAAGCUAUUUAGGUAGCGCCUCGGACGAAUACCAUAGGGGGUAGAGCACUGUUUCGGCUAGGGGGUCAUCCCGACUUACCAAACCGAUGCAAACUCCGAAUACCUAUGAGUACUAUCCGGGAGACAGACUGCGGGUGCUAACGUCCGUAGUCAAGAGGAAAACAAUCCAGACCGCCAGCUAAGGCCCCAAAAUCAUAGUUAAGUGGGAAACGAUGUGGGAAGGCAUAGACAGCUAGGAGGUUGGCUUAGAAGCAGCCACCCUUUAAAGAAAGCGUAAUAGCUCACUAGUCGAGUCGGCCUGCGCGGAAGAUGUAACGGGGCUAAAACUAUGUGCCGAAGCUGCGGAUGUAUACUUUGUAUACGUGGUAGGGGAGCGUUCUGUAAGCCGAUGAAGGUGUGUUGAGAAGCAUGCUGGAGGUAUCAGAAGUGCGAAUGCUGACGUGAGUAACGACAAAACGGGUGAAAAACCCGUUCGCCGAAAGACCAAGGGUUCCAGUCCAACGUUAAUCGGGGCUGGGUGAGUCGACCCCUAAGGCGAGGCCGAAAGGCGUAGUCGAUGGGAAAAUGGUUAAUAUUCCAUUACUUCUGUGUAAUGCGAUGAGAGGACGGAGAAGGCUAAAUCAGCCUGGCGUUGGUUGUCCAGGUGAAAGGAUGUAGGCAUGUAUCUUAGGCAAAUCCGGGGUACUCUAUGCUGAGAUCUGAUAGCAAGCUGUACUUGUACAGCGAAGUGGUUGAUGCCAUGCUUCCAGGAAAAGUCUCUAAGCUUCAGUUACACAGGAAUCGUACCCGAAACCGACACAGGUGGUCAGGUCGAGUAGACCAAGGCGCUUGAGAGAACUCUGCUGAAGGAACUAGGCAAAAUGGUACCGUAACUUCGGGAGAAGGUACGCUGUUGUUGGUGAUGGAACUCGCUUCCUGAGCUGACGACAGCCGCAGAAACCAGGCCGCUGCAACUGUUUAUUAAAAACAUAGCACUCUGCAAACACGAAAGUGGACGUAUAGGGUGUGAUGCCUGCCCGGUGCUGGAAGGUUAAUUGAUGGGGUUAGCGUAAGCGAAGCUCUUGAUCGAAGCCCCAGUAAACGGCGGCCGUAACUAUAACGGUCCUAAGGUAGCGAAAUUCCUUGUCGGGUAAGUUCCGACCUGCACGAAUGGCAUAAUGAUGGCGGCGCUGUCUCCAGCAGAGGCUCAGUGAAAUCGAAAUCGCUGU
rnacentral:rRNA from 1 species